CCCGAGGAAACAGCCACGCGCGG
rnacentral:piRNA from 1 species